rnacentral:rRNA from 1 species
CAGCAGUCGCGAAAACUUUGCAAUACACGAAAGUGUGACAGGGUCAUCCCGAGUGCCGACCGCUGAGGUUGGCUUUUACCCAGUCUAGAAAGCUGGGGGAAUAAGGAGAGGGCAAGUCUGGUGUCAGCCGCCGCGGUAAUACCAGCUCUCCGAGUGGUGUGGACGUUUAUUGGGCCUAAAGCAUCCGUAGCUGGCUGAACAAGUCCCCUGUUAAACCCACCGAUUUAAUCGUUGGUCUGCGGGGGAUACUGCUCGGCUAGGGGACGAGAGAGGCAGACGGUAUUCCCGGGGUAGGGGUGAAAUCCUAUAAUCCCGAGAAGACCACCAGUGGCGAAGGCUGUCUGCUAGAACGCGCCC